rnacentral:misc_RNA from 1 species
UGUCUAGUCCCCAUCGGCAGAGCU